GCUGUGCUUUGGAAAAGCAAUGAGGAGGUAACAGGAAGUCUCUUCCCCUCCUAAAUCCUGUGUUCGUGGAGGAGGGUGGGAGACUGAGUUUUCUCGUCUUGAGAGGGAGUUACAUACAAGUUUAAGGGAAAAGAGUCUGUAUUUUCCACCUAAAUGAUUCUGAAAGAAUCAGUGGUGGAGCAAGAAGAGUGAUCCCAUUUAUGCAAGGAAUCCCUGACCCUUAUCUCGCUCAGCUUAACCUGGGAGGGCCAGGCACCCCAUCAGCUGGAGGAAAGAAUGAACAUGGAUUGGAAGAGCCUGCUGGUGUUGCAGAACAACCAUCUGGAAAGCCCUUGGAGGAGGGAAGCUCACGAAGGGACUGUCAUUCACCAGCAAACCCCUGCCCCCUCACUUUUUCUUUUUUGUAAUUGGAAGUUCAGGUUGAACUGCUCUGUAGUUAUUCACCCACUUCUGCUGGUCAAAGGCCCACGAGGAUUUAAAUGACUAAAUAGGCCAUAAAAUGCCAACCUUUUAGAAGUCUCAAAAAUGUCUGCUGGAUCAAACAGUCAGCAUGAACCACCCUUAGAUUCCUCUGCCACCCACUUUGCUCCCUGUGUCUGGGACACCCUGAGUCCACAGUGACUCUGUGCCAAACUAUAAAGAAACCACCAUGUACCUUUUCAAAAAUGUCCACUUGUCCUUAAAGUCACGAAUCACGGAAGAGAUGGCUUCCAGAUAUGCAACUUCACUUCCGACGCCAUCACCCUCUAAAAUUUCCCUGUGUUUUCACUGAAGUCAUGCACCCACUUCUGCUGGUUCCUGGCUCACAUAAACAUUGAGCAAGUAACUUUCCAUUAGACCCAGAGGAUGGACUAGGAUAGACUUCUGAAUGCCUGAAAAUUCCUGGUCCUCAACAAACCUGUGUUCUGCUCAAUAAUUUAUUUUGUAAGAAGAAGUUAUAAUAAGUCUAGUCAUUAAAUCAAAAGAGAAAAACCUUAAUUAAGUAUAAUAUUGUUGGUACUUGUAUUUGUCCGUUCCAUUUCUUCAUUAACUUUUUGAUUGGUAAAAUAAAGAUCAUUACACAAAUCUAUUCUCAAAUGUAGCCAUGGAUGAUUUGAUUUCUCUUUCUCUCUUUUCUCUCCCUGUGCAUACACACACACACACACAUACACACACACACACACAUAUAUAUAUAUACACACACUCAGAGAACAGAGUUGUCUCUCUAUACACACACAGAGCAUGUAUAUAUGUGUGUGUAUAUAUAUGUAUAUGUGUGUAUGUGUGUAUAUACAUUUAUAUGGAGAGAGAGAAAGAGAGAGAGAGAGAGAAAAUAGAGAGAGAGAGAGAAAGAUGCUCCUCAACUUACGAUGGGGUUAUGUUCUGAUAAACCCACCGUAAGCUGAAAAUAUUCCAAGCCAAAAAUGCACUGAAUGCACCUAACCUUUCGAACACCGUAGCUUAGCCUAGUCCACUGCAAAUGUGCUUAGACACUUAACUUGUAAAUGCGCAAUAUUUACAUUGGUCUGGAGCUGGACAAAAUCAUCAUCACAGUCUAUUUCAUAAUAAAGUGUUGAAUAUGUCAUGUA